ensembl:lncRNA
CUGCACUGGAGAGGCUUCAGGGGAGAGGGGCUGCUUGAGUACUAACCCUGGGCUGAGCCCCUACAGCAGCUUGGCUAGUUCCGGUCUCCUGCUGGUGUUUAUGCCUUUCCUGGACCUUGUUAUCAGGCCUCCCACGAUGGACUGAAUAUCUUUUUGGGAGUGACCACGCCUCCACUGGGCUCUUCCGGCAGGAGCGUCACGUGGCCCUGAACAAAGGCGGUGAACUUUAUCCGGCAGUAACCUAAUCUCCUGGAUCGUUUACCAACAACACUCAGAGUGAUCUCCGGGAUUACCUUGGGCUUUGGCCAGCACCAGGGAGACUGGGCUGAACAGAAGUUUCUGGCUCUGUGUGGACCACGUUCUCUCCUAGCGUCAGAGCUUUCCUCAGAGUUCUGUGAGAGCAGUGUUAACUGUGGACAGUCCUGGACUCACAUCACCCCAGUUUGUUGCCUCAGAAGACAAAACUCUCCCAGGAUCUUGAGAUGGAUCGAGAUUGAGAGUCCUGAGUUCAGAGCUCUUAAUGGAACGGGCAAAGUUCUAAGGAGAGAAGCUAUGGAGAUGGGGAAAGGAAACUCAGGUGGAGCAGAGAUGGAGGCACAAGCCAAGGCCUCUCAGUCCUGUUAGGAUCAGUUGGUUAUGGCGGCCCCAGGAGAUGAAUGUAUGAGGACCCAGGUUCAAUUUCCAGCACAAUGUGGCAACUUAAAAGUGUAACUCCAGUCCCAGAGGAGCUGAUGCUUCCUUCUGACCUCAGGGGCCACCGGCAUGAAAGCGUAGGCAAAAGCACCCAUGCACAUAAAAGAGCUCACACCAAAUGAGAGGACUGGAGAGAGGGCCAAGUCUUUUUAAGCCCAAGAAGGAACCUGAAGGUUUCUCUCCCCGGCCAUGAAUGCUGCGCUCCAGGCACUGCUGCAGCACGGACUGCCGAGGAGCUCCGCACAGCAGACACCACCCCCACUUAAGAAUUAAAAGCAUUGUUUUUGAAAAAAAGGAAAUCAACUUUAUUUUCUCUACAUUAAAAAAAAAUAGAACCAGC